GCUGCACCGGAAUCGCAAGGCCGUAGGUUCAAUUCCUACCAGAGGACCUUGUGCUGCAUUUUUCGCAGUCGUUCCUGGUUAGGUCUUAAAAUGUAUAUAUUCUCACUUGGAUUACAAACCCUAACAUUCUAAUAUUAAUUCCACCAAGUGAAAUGCAAGAAUCCAAAUUAUUGAAGUCCACCUUAUCACAACCCGCACACCUGAUUACCUAUAUAUACAUGAACUUACGGUUACAGCUUAACGGCUGGCCUCUGUAGCUCAGUUGGUUAGAGCGCUGCACCGGAAUCGCAGGGCCGUAGGUUUGAUUCCUACCAGAGGACCUUGUGCUGCAUUUUUCGCAGUCGUUCCUGGUUAGGUCUUAAAAUGUAUAUAUUCUCACUUGGAUUCCAAACCCUAACAUUCUAAUAUUAA